rnacentral:lncRNA from 12 species
UCAAGCAGGAGUGGGCACCUUGCCAGUAGUCCCCCUCACCAGUGGGAGGCCUAGUUUUCUCACCUGCAAACUGGGGAAAAUGUGACUUCUCUUUCCUGGUGCACCGGCCUGUGGCGAGGACCAGGUGAAUCCCAGAUACGGACAACUGUUGGAGGUGAAAUCUUGCUUGGUGGGGCUCCAGUCUCUGAGCAAGGGGAGACCCUUCACCCAGUUGGCCUGCGAUAAUCUUUUAUUUUUUUUAAGAUUUAUUUAUUUAUUCAUUCAUUCAUGAGAGAGGCAGAGACAUAGGCAGAGGGAGAAGCAGGUUCUCCAUGGGGAGCCUAAUGUGGGACUCGAUCCCUGGACCCCGGGAUCACACCCUGAGCUGAAGGCAGACUCUCAACCACUGAGCUACUCCCCCGGCACUCCUGGCCUGUGAUAAUCUUAAAAGCAGAGGUCAUCAUCUUCCCACGAAUCGGCUGAGGUCAUCAGUUCGAGCUCAAACUCACUUCCUCAUGUUUACCUUUUUCUCUGGGAGCCAUCAGACCCAGCCCAGUUCCCAGUCUCUGCCAGGCCUGUUCUCUGCCAAGCUGGGGCCCCCUCUCUGCAGGCUGGCCCUGACCUCAUGCCCAGUGCAGGAUAUUGAACCCUUAUCCUGCUCCAACCCUCUGGGACAAGAAACUGCCUUGUUCUUGGCACAUCCCCACUCGGUACCAGGACUGGAAUCUGGGGAGAGGCCGGAGAUUGCAAGCUGCCCAGCUGGGACUUUUGAGCAUCCCCCGAGCCUGAGAACUCCCUUCAAGUAGUCAUUUUGUGGUGGACUCUGUGAUAUGCCCCUAGGUGAGAACAGAAGCCAGAAUUGAUGUCCACUCCCAAUUUCUUGGUUGAAGUCAUAAAGAUAAUGGCAAGAAGGACAUUUAUGCUGGACUGUCACUAUCUGGAGGAUGAUGUUGGACAAGAAGAGGAGGACAAGAGUGACAUUUUCUCCAUCAGAGGAAUGAGCUUCCCAACCAUGGAGAGUCAAAAUGGAAGAGCAUGAAUUAUAUACUCAACACAGAUUCCCAGGACUGGGCUUUGUAUGACCACCUAAUGGAUUUCCUUGUGGACCAAGGGGGUGGAUGACACUUUUUUCAGAUGAGUUCAGCAUGGCCCUUGAUCACCAAACUUUCUCAGAGACCUCGAAAGUUUUGUCAAGAGCCAAUAGCAUUUUGCCAGACAAAAUGCUGAAUACUUUGAUUUUAUGGCAGGCUUUGGUCAGUGAACAAAACCUACUUUGAAGCCAGAUACAUGUGCUUCAAAAUGGUUUUCAUCCUCAUAUCAUAAAAAAUGAUUCAAAUUGAUUUCUGUUGCCUUCUUAUUUAUAAUUCCUUUGUUUCUUCUCUACAAAUCCAUUAUUUCUAGGUUUUUGUAUAACAUCAUGAUGGAGAAUAAAACUGGUUUAUCUCCCCCA